rnacentral:tRNA from 1 species
AGUCUUGAAGUGUUUAUCACACCGAAUUGCAAAUUCGGGGAAGUAGCAGCAGGCAGCUACCAGGACUU